rnacentral:lncRNA from 1 species
AAGUGCGGGAAAGAGAGGAGCUACAGACAGAUAAGUAGUGAGGCAGAGGGUAGUGCGUAAGCCAUUCCUCAGUUUUAGUAUACCAAGUCCUUCCAUUAGAGGGCAGCUCUUGCCAUGGCUCCUAACCUGCAAUCGUUCUCGGUGUCUGGCCUUAUGAAAUCUGAUCCUACUCACAAGGGCGCUGGUGUAAUCCAAGAGGUUAGUCUCUUCUUAACCGACUCUCAACUUAACGUGAGGGAGAUCAUUCUAAGUGUGUAACCUACUGUCAGGUGUCUGAUGCAUCUGAAAGUUCAGUAAACCAGCCCGUAGGAGCAGGAGUAGCAGUGAGUUCAUCAUCUGGAGUGCCAGCAGUCGUUGAGCAGGUAUGACGAAGUGCUGGGGGAGGAGGGGGUUGCAUCCAAUUAGCCGUCCAUAUCUGUAGUUAUCUCUGAAUUUGCUUUAUUUGGUGAUUACCCUGCAGGAGACGCCGCCUGCAAGUGAUGUCUGGGAGGGCGGACACAUCGUGAUGCAGGAGGAAGUUGAGAUGCAAGCGAUGCAGGAUGUGGAAGAAGGCUAUGGAGAACAUGACCCAGAAGACCAGCCUCUGGGGAUGGAUGAGCUUGCAGAGGUUGAAGACGGCGAGCACUCUUCGGCUGGCGCCCACGGCGAGUCGGAUGAAGAUGCAGAGGAAGACAGCAGCAGCUCAUCUGCCAAGCGUGCUAAACAUGGUUAGGGGGAGCAUGUUGAUGGCAGCGUCGGUAAUGAUGCCAUUACUGGCGUGGUUAAGAAUCGUGUGUAGUAAAAAAUUAUGUCGCUCUUUUGCAAGCUAGAAAUGAUAUGAAUGGUGUGUGCGUUCUUAAUAUCACUGUUGCAGUGGGACGACAAGUAAAAUUAGGAAAAGUCACUAUCAUAUUUUUGCCCACGAGUGUUCAUAGCAGAGCUAACAAAUAUUGGUUGUUUAGGUGAGAGGCAUUCAACUAACACCCCCAAAAGUAUGAAAUGCACCACAUAGAAGGUGAAUAAUAAAU